rnacentral:rRNA from 1 species
AUUGAACGCUGGCGGAAUGCUUUACACAUGCAAGUCGAACGGCAGCACGGACUUCGGUCUGGUGGCGAGUGGCGAACGGGUGAGUAAUGUAUCGGAACGUGCCCAGUCGGGGGGGAUAACGAAGUGAAAAUUACGCUAACACCGCAUACGAUCUAUGGAUGAAAGCGGGGGAUCGCAGGACCUGGCGCGAUUGGAGCGGCGGAUAUCAGAUUAGGUAGUUGGUGGGGUAAAGGCCCACCAAGCCAACGAUCUGUAGCUGGUCUGAGAGGACGACCAGCCACACUGGAACUGAGACACGGUCCAGACUCCUACGGGAGGCAGCAGUGGGGAAUUUUGGACAAUAGGCGAAAGCCUGAUCCAGCCAUUCCGCGUGCAGGAUGAAGGCCCUCGGGUUGUAAACUGCUUUUGUACAGAACGAAAAGGUUUCUACUAAUACUAGGAGCUCAUGACGGUACUGUAAGAAUAAGCACCGGCUAACUACGUGCCAGCCGCCGCCGUAA